UAAAGAAUCCAAGGACUGGUCUGGGGGAAAAAAAUCUUAUUUUUGGUUUGUUGGUUGCUGACGCCUAUGGCCAUUCCAAUUUUUUAAGAUCGUAUUUUGUAGGGAGGAAAUAGAGGAAAAGUAAUGGAAGUCAUUAUUUCACUAUAAAUGGAAUGUCUAAUUUGUUUUUCUCAAUUAUUCUUGAAAACAGAGAUAAGACAUGAUGUUGGCGUAAAUUUAUAGAGAGUCCAAAGGCAGGGCCCGUUUGAUUUUCAUCAAACAUUUCCCAUGGACUUCAUAAAUCCAUGGCAAUCAAAAAGCCUCCAUAAAUUUAACCAUGA
rnacentral:misc_RNA from 1 species